rnacentral:rRNA from 1 species
GUCGAGAAUCUUCCGCAAUGCGCGAAAGCGUGACGGAGCGACACCGCGUGAUGGAUGAAGUCCUUCGGGGCGUAAACAUCUUUUAUAAAGGAGGAAAUUUUUGACGUUACUUUAUGAAUAAGGGGCUCCCAAUCUCGUGCCAGCAGGAGCGGUAAUACGAGAGCCUCAAGCGUUAUCCGGAAUCAUUGGGCGUCAAGGGUGCGUAGGUGGUUUGAUUAGUCUCCCGUUAAAACUUCGAGCUUAACUCGAAAAGAGCGGGGGAAACGGUCAAACUAGAGUAUGUGAGAGGUGUGUGGAACUCAUGGUGUAGGGGUGAAAUCCGUUGAUAUCAUGGGGAACACCAAAAGCGAAGGCAGCACACUGGCACAUCACUGACACUGAGGCACGAAACCUAAGGUAGCGAAUGGGAUUAGAAACCCGGGUAGUCC